rnacentral:rRNA from 1 species
UGCGGAGGGCGGUAUUUAUUAGAUAACAAGCCAAUAUUCCUCUGGUCUAUUGUGGUGACUCAUAAUAACUGAUCGAAUCGCAUGGCCUUGGCCGCGAUAAGUCAUUCAAGUUUCUGCCCCAUCAGCUUUCGAUGGUAGUGUAUUGGACUACCAUGGCGUUUACGGGUAACGGAGGAUUAGGGUUCGAUUCCGGAGAGGGAGCCUGAGAAACGGCUACCACAUCUAAGGAAGGCAGCAGGCGCGUAAAUUACCCAAUCCUGACUCAGGGAGGGAGU